GCUUGCAUUCACCGUAAGAAGUUGAGUGGCGGACGGGUGAGUAACACGUGGGUAACCUGCCUAAAAGAAGGGGAUAACACUUGGAAACAGGUGCUAAUACCGUAUAUCUCUAAGGAUCGCAUGAUCCUUAGACGAAAGAUGGUUCUGCUAUCGCUUUUAGAUGGACCCGCGGCGUAUUAACUAGUUGGUGGGGUAACGGCCUACCAAGGUGAUGAUACGUAGCCGAACUGAGAGGUUGAUCGGCCACAUUGGGACUGAGACACGGCCCAAACUCCUACGGGAGGCAGCAGUAGGGAAUCUUCCACAAUGGACGCAAGUCUGAUGGAGCAACGCCGCGUGAGUGAAGAAGGUCUUCGGAUCGUAAAACUCUGUUGUUAGAGAAGAACACGAGUGAGAGUAACUGUUCAUUCGAUGACGGUAUCUAACCAGCAAGUCACGGCUAACUACGUGCCAGCAGCCGCGGUAAUACGUAGGUGGCAAGCGUUGUCCGGAUUUAUUGGGCGUAAAGGGAACGCAGGCGGUCUUUUAAGUCUGAUGUGAAAGCCUUCGGCUUAACCGGAGUAGUGCAUUGGAAACUGGAAGACUUGAGUGCAGAAGAGGAGAGUGGAACUCCAUGUGUAGCGGUGAAAUGCGUAGAUAUAUGGAAGAACACCAGUGGCGAAAGCGGC
rnacentral:rRNA from 1 species